GUGACCUGGGGCAACCCCUGAGCAGCAAUGCCGCUUUGAGUGAAGAAGGCCUUCGGGUUGUAAAGCUCUUUUGGAAGGGAAGAAACACCGGCUCUAACACAGUCCGGGAAUGACGGUACCUGAACAAUAAGCACCGGCUAACUACGUGCCCCAGCCGCGGUAAUACGUAGGGUGCAAGCGUUAAUCGGAAUUACUGGGCGUAAAGCGUGCGCAGGCGGUUAUACGAUACAUGCGUGAAAUCCCCGGGCUUAACCUGGGAAUGGCUCCUGUGACUGUAUACCUAGAGUGUGUCAGAAGGGGGUAGAAUUCCUCCUGUAGCAGUGGAGUGCGGAGAUAUUUGGAGGAAUACCACUGGCGAAGGCAGCCCCCUGGGAUAACACUGACGCUCAUGCACCACA
rnacentral:rRNA from 1 species